ACGACCCCCUGGAGUCGUGUCAGGAUUUCAUCAGACACCAAACCACCAGAGCUGAUGAAACUUAUAAGUUAAGUGGUCGA
rfam:Schistosoma curassoni strain Dakar, Senegal genome assembly, scaffold: SCTD_contig0005574